rnacentral:rRNA from 1 species
UGGGGAAUAUUGGACAAUGGGCGCAAGCCUGAUCCAGCCAUGCCGCGUGAGUGAUGAAGGCCCUAGGGUUGUAAAGCUCUUUCACCGGUGAAGAUAAUGACGGUAACCGGAGAAGAAGCCCCGGCUAACUUCGUGCCAGCAGCCGCGGUAAUACGAAGGGGGCUAGCGUUGUUCGGAUUUACUGGGCGUAAAGCGCACGUAGGCGGACUAUUAAGUCAGGGGUGAAAUCCCGGGGCUCAACCCCGGAACUGCCUUUGAUACUGGUAGUCUUGAGUUCGAGAGAGGUGAGUGGAAUUCCGCGUGUAGAGGUGAAAUUCGUAAAUAUUCGGAGGAACACCAGUGGCGAAGGCGGCUCACUGGCUCGAUACUGACGCUGAGGUGCGAAAGCGUGGGGAGCAAACAGG